GAUGAACGCUAGCGGGAGGCUUAACACAUGCAAGUCGAGGGGCAGCAUUGCUUUCGGGCAGAUGGCGACCGGCGAACGGGUGCGUAACGCGUAUGCAACUUACCUUAUACAAAGGGAUAGCCCAUGGAAACGUGGAUUAAUACCUUAUAGUACUACUUAUCUUCAUGGAUUAGUAGUUAAAACUUCGGUGGUAUAAGAUAGGCAUGCGUCUGAUUAGCUAGAUGGUGGGGUAACGGCCCACCAUGGCCACGAUCAGUAGGGGUUCUGAGAGGAUUAUCCCCCACACUGGUACUGAGACACGGACCAGACUCCUACGGGAGGCAGCAGUGAGGAAUAUUGGUCAAUGGGCGCAAGCCUGAACCAGCCAUCCCGCGUGCAGGAUGACGGCCCUAUGGGUUGUAAACUGCUUUUCUAUGCCAAGAAAUGUCCUUACGUGUAGGGAUUUGACGGUAGCAUAGGAAUAAGCACCGGCUAACUCCGUGCCAGCAGCCGCGGUAAUACGGAGGGUGCAAGCGUUAUCCGGAUUUAUUGGG
rnacentral:rRNA from 1 species